GUGUAUGUGGUGUAACAAACACAUUAGCUUUUCAUGCUAAAAUUAUAUAUAAUAUUAUACACA
rnacentral:tRNA from 1 species